GUACUUCAUUCCUCUUCAGGCAGGGCUGUCCAAUUUUUAAGAAACAGAGACCCAAUCAAAUCAGAAGAUCAAAUAAAGGUGGGAGGAUAUUGUAAGAUACAGAGCACAUGGGAUAUACAAGGAUUGGAAUGACAAUAACUAGAUCUUAUUGAAAUGGGUCCAGUGUAGCAAGUAAGCUACAUCACUCUCUUGAACAGGACAGCUUAUUCUGAUUGUGAUACCAGAUGGGCAGAUGAACGUUUAUUAAUAUUACGUAUUGUCCAGAUCAAAAUGCUGUAUUCAGAGCAGCUUGGUGGGUCUAGUUUGACCACCGGUAUAAUGUGAAGAAACCUGGAUUCCUGGUUCAGACCACCUCCUUACUAGACAUAAAAUUUUUAGCAAGCCACUAAUUAUCUCUGUGACUUUCUUCACCUAGAGAGAGCAAAAUGGAUAGAAGACCAAAUGGGCUGACACUUACUAUAAUCCUGGGACAAAAACACAUUAAGAGGAAGAUGGAUCAAUAGUUCUCAAAGGAAAAAGAUGGCAGCAACCUAUAAGAAGAUCUGAGCUUCUAGGAAUGAUGGGCUAUUUUUUCUAUUUUUCAGAGACUUUUAUAGCUUAUAAAUACUUAUCAGAAGAAAUUAGUUCCACAGAAUGACAGUGAAGUUGUGAUCACAUCCCACCAAAUUGUAAUUUUAUAUCCCCUUCCUUCACCAAGGUUAAAUUGCACCUUCCCACGCUACAAUGUUUUCCAUGCACUUUGCAACUUAAAUAAUAAAUGAUGCAUGAUUUAAGAUGACAAUUAUUCUUUGAAUACAAAUCUCAAGAAUAAUGGUGAUCAUUAUUCUCAAGAACAAGCAUAGCAGAGCAUACCAAGA
rnacentral:lncRNA from 1 species